GGGGGGGGGGGGGGGGGGGGGGGGGGGGGGGGGGGGGGGGGAGGGGGGGGGGGGGGGGGGGCGCGGACGGUAGCGGCGGACGGGUGAGGAACAGGGGGAUAACCUAGCGAUAAGACGGGGGUAACGUCGGGAAACCGGAGCUAGUACCGGAUAAUAUAGUGAACCGCAUGGUUCAAGAGUGAAAGACGGUUUUGCUGUCACUUAUAGAUGGAUCCGCGCCGCAUUAGCUAGUUGGUAAGGUAACGGCUUACCAAGGCGACGAUGCGUAGCCGACCUGAGAGGGUGAUCGGCCACACUGGAACUGAGACACGGUCCAGACUCCUACGGGAGGCAGCAGUAGGGAAUCUUCCGCAAUGGGCGAAAGCCUGACGGAGCAACGCCGCGUGAGUGAUGAAGGUCUUCGGAUCGUAAAACUCUGUUAUUAGGGAAGAACAAAUGUGUAAGUAACUAUGCACGUCUUGACGGUACCUAAUCAGAAAGCCACGGCUAACUACGUG
rnacentral:rRNA from 1 species